AGCCUGUUGAUUUUUAUAAUAGGUGUUUUCUGCCCAGUGUUGAAAUAAAUGGCCGCGGUACUCUGACCGUGCAAAGGUAGCAUAAUCACUUGUUCUUUAAUUGGGGACUGGUAUGAAAGAAAGUUUGAGGUCUAAUCUGUCUCUUUUUUGUUUUAAAAUUUGCUGUCUGUGUGAAGAAGCACAGGUUGUUAAAAAAGACAAGAAGACCCUUUUAAGCUUUAUUUAGAAUUCUUUGGCUUUUUCUUUCAAGAAUUUGGCUAAGGUCUAUAAAUUUGGUUGGGGUGACUGAAGAAGAUAAAAUCUUCUUUUGUUUAUUAGUACUUUAGGUUAAAAAAUGACCCAAGAUUUCUUGGUUGUAAGAAUUAGUUACUAAAGGGAUAACAGCGUAAUCUUUUCAAAGAGUUCUUAUUGAAGAAAAGGAUUGCGACCUCGAUGUUGACUUGCUUUUUCCUGUUAUGGUGUAGAAGCUGUAAGGGUUGGUCUGUUCGACCAUUAAAAUAGU
rnacentral:rRNA from 1 species